GAUCUUGUGAUGUUCGGGUCGAAAACUAAAAUUUAGAAACCAUACAAACCGAAGAGAAAUUUUAUUUCAAUAGAAAAAACGAAAAUAAAACAAAAAAUGGUUUUAAAGCAAACACAACUUCGAUAAUGUCUUGGGACAACUACAGAGUUCGAGCACAUUGAAGACGUUAGGGUUUUAAUGCAAAAUUCAUAGAACGGCAUCGACACAAUUGGCAAGUUACUUAUACACUAUACAAAAUGUUUACUUGUUCUGGUUAAUGAUUGACUAUGAUUGACUAUGAUUGACUACGAUUGAUUACGAUUGAUUCCAAUUGAUCAUCUGGGGGCAUAAUGCAUAAUAUGCCAAGGGAGGCUUUUCAACUUUGAGUGUUGAAUAACGUUGAAAUGUUGAACGAAUUUCUUUUCAAGCUUUUUCGUUUGAUUCCAAUGUAUUGUUAAAUAAAAUGCAAUGGAAA
rnacentral:sRNA from 1 species